GGGGUUGUAGCUCAGUGGUACAGUGCUUGCCUAACAUGCAUGAGGCACUGGGUUUGAUUCUCAGCAACACAU
rnacentral:tRNA from 1 species